AAGAAAGUGACUGCCGCCCCGCACAGGGGCAACGCUAAUAGACCGACACGAAAACGGGAUCCGGCGAAAAAACUGCGCAAAAAGAACCACCCCCCGAGUGGGAACAUCAA
rnacentral:sRNA from 1 species